ACCCGCUUGACGUAGUAGUUUAACGUCUGGCUGGCUUUUACAGUAAGAGUAGUAGGUUCGAAUCCUACAGCAGGUA
rnacentral:tRNA from 1 species